UGACUACUUGUAGGGGACAAUUAUACAAUCGUGACGUAUUAGUUGUAUACUUAGUGUCACUCAUUAUCUCAUUAUUCUUUCCUCAUUUACUAAUCCUAAUUUUUUUUAAAUACUUGUAUUUCCUAUAUCAAUCUCGGAAUAAGCGCGGUCUUGGGACUACCGUAGACAAUAUAAAGUAAGUACAUGGAGACAACGAGUAGUUAGAGCAGUAAACGUGAAAACGGCAGGAGAGGCAAUGUGGUAUGUGGAUGAAUAAGGAAGUAAUUAGUCUCGUAGAAACGUUAAAGAAGAAUCUUGUGAGAAGGUUUACGCACGUGAGGUUUACUCACCGCGUGCUGGAUCGCUUCUCCUCUCCCUUG